GGAGGGAUGGCAGAGUGGUCGAAUGCACUGGUCUUGAAAACCAGCAAGGUGUUAAAACCUUCCAGGGUUCGAAUCCCUGUCCCUCCGCCA
rnacentral:tRNA from 2 species